GGUGUCCCACCCACCUAGAGGAGCCUGUUCUAUAAUCGAUUCUCCCCGAUAAACCUCACCACUUCUAGCCUACUCAGCCUGUAUACCUCCGUCGUAAGCUUACCAUAUGAACGCUAACUAGUGAGCUUAAAGAUCUAUUCAUCAACACGUCAGGUCAAGGUGCAGCUUACGAAGCGGGAAGCAAUGGGCUACAAUUUCUAACAUAGAACACACGAAAGACUACAUGAAACACAGUCAUGAAGGCGGAUUUAGCAGUAAAAAGAAAAUAGAGAGUUCUUUUUAAUUAGGCGCUGGGACGCGUACACACCGCCCGUCACCCUCUUCAAACGCCCACAAACGUUAAUUAACACCUAACCGCACAAUAGAAGAGGUAAGUCGUAACACGGUAAGCGUACUGGAAAGUGCGCUUGGACUAACAA
rnacentral:rRNA from 1 species